UGGCUCACCAAGGCUUCGACGGGUAGCCGGCCUGAGAGGGCGACCGGCCACACUGGGACUGAGAUACGGCCCAGACUCCUACGGGAGGCAGCAGUGGGGAAUAUUGCACAAUGGGCGCAAGCCUGAUGCAGCAACGCCGCGUGCGGGAUGACGGCCUUCGGGUUGUAAACCGCUUUCACCCAUGACGAAGCGAAAGUGACGGUANUGGGAGAAGAAGCACCGGCCAACUACGUGCCAGCAGCCGCGGUGAUACGUAGGGUGCGAGCGUUGUCCGGAAUUAUUGGGCGUAAAGAGCUUGUAGGCGGUUGAUUGCGUCANAAGUGAAAUCUCAGGGCUUAACCCUGAGCGUGCUUCUGAUACGGGUUGACUAGAGGAAAGUAGGGGAGAACGGAAUUCCUGGUGGAGCGGUGGAAUGCGCAGAUAUCANGAGGAACACCGGUGGCGAA
rnacentral:rRNA from 1 species